rnacentral:rRNA from 1 species
GACGAACGCUGGCGGCGUGCCUAAUACAUGCAAGUCGAACGGAGUGGCGCACGGGUGAGGAAUAUAUAGCUAAUCUGCCCCUUGCUGGAGGACAACAGUUAGAAAUGACUGCUAAUACUCCAUAGCAAGGGAUGUGACUAUAUCGUAUAAGCGAGUCGGUGGGGUAACGGCCUACCGAGGGUAUGACGCGUAACUGGUCUGAGAGGAUGAUCAGUGACAUCGGAACGGAGACACGGUACAAACUCCUACGGGAGGGAGCACUAGGGAAUUUGGCGCAACGGGGGAAGCCCUGAAGCAGCAACGCUUCGUGAAGGAUGACACUUUGCGGAGCGUAACCUCCUUUUGUUAGGGAAGCGUUACCUAACGAAUAAGCACCGGCUAACUCCGUGCCAGCAGCCGCGGUAAUUC